UCGCUUCCCGCGCCAUUCGGCGUGCACGCGCGAGAGCACCAAGCACGUAACCGUUCGGAGACUGUCUGGAGUCUGUCUGAAAUUGAUAAAAUUGGAAAUGGAGUUUUACGUCUCUUCGCUCAUUCACCGGGAAGCCGCCGGCUGGAAAAAGGGGAAUCUUUGCCGUCCUCCUCAGACGCCUUCGCUCAUGAGUCGCCACGCUCAGCCGAAAUAUUUUUUUUAGAUAAAGGCUGUGAAAGUUUUUUCUCCUGCAGUCUAUCAGCAGACAGCUCUUUAUGUUCAGGCAGGGGAUCAUCCUUCAGCUUUCUAGAGUUCAAGAGGAGUGCACCAACCAGGAGGCAGCCUGCAAGAGCACAGAAAGGCCUGUCCCAAAACUGAUCCAGACUCUGACAAAAAUGAUUGGAAUUGCAAUUAGAAAGGAGAAUCAUGGUUUCUUCCAACCUGUCAUGCUUUCAUGUCUUUGACCCUGGAGUGUACUCGCCCAAAUGGACUGACUGCCACUUCUUAACAGCUCUAUUGUGAGACAUUUCACAUCCAAACUGUGCUGUGCAGAAUUUUAAGCGUAGAGAGCUGGUGGAUGGACUAGGAGGAAGAUGUCAUGCUAAGGAUGGGUUUUGGUGAUGAUGUUGCUACUGUUGAUGCAGCAUCGAGCUCUCACUUUGUGCCUCUGUCAGCUAUGAUCCGUAACCACAAAGUGAGUGACAGGCCAGUCCUCGGGGAAAGCAGGGGGCCUGAGAAGCACAGGCUCUUUUCAGAAGCGGCGAGGAAGACUGACCGUCUCGAAGACAGUGCUGGGAGCAGCCCUAUCUGCUCUAAUGCUAGUCACUGGCCGUUAGACAUGGCGUUCAAAGACUAGUGGUGCAAGUAUGGAAAUGCAGAUAAGGCAUUGUUGAGGAAACAUGCCUGGGAAUUGUUCAAGGCUUUCCCUUGCAUAAUGUUCGAUGCUUUUGCGAAUGUUUUAAUCUCAAAACCCAUGAACUUGAUCCUCCAUGAAUCUGAUUCUGAAGCUCCCUUAGAAUGGAGUCCGUGUUUGCAUGGAAAGGAUUGUUAUGCUAUGCAAAUUAAUAAUGUCUGUGACUACAUUUGUGAAUAUUUGAUAUGUGGCGACAUUUAUUUAACACUGCUGUUGCAUGCAUUUCUCAUUUCUAUUCUAUUCUAUUUUAGAUUUAGAUUCUAAUGCUUGCAGAAGCUCAGCAUUGAUUUAAGUCUGAUUUGCUGCUUUAGUCAGGCUUCAGCUCUUUCUUCUGUGUUUUGGAGCAACGUGGAAGCUCUUUGCUGCACAUACAGAUUUCAGAAAGUUGUUUGUGUAUAAUCUUCAAGGUUUAUUUACUCUUCUUUUGCAGUUUUCAGGAGGCAGUUAAUUACACAAUUAAUACAUGAUACAAAUUAUGUACAUUUAUACCAAAGAAUACUUCCAACAUAAAAUAAAAAAUAGCAUUGUAUUCUACAA